CGGUUCGCGGGGCCGCGCACGCCGGCGGGGGUGGCGGGAGGAGCGCUGCGGCCUCCUGGAGGCGGCACGCCUGCUCAGGGAGCCGCGUACGGCAGCUGCGUCCGGUCGCCAUCUUCCGUCCCCAGGCAGCUGCUCCCGGAGCGGGCGUGGGGUUCGCGGCCCGCCGGACGCUACUGGCCGCGGCUGCAGCGGUGGAAGGCCCCGGGCAGGGCCAGGCGGGCAGAGCGCGGCGCGGCGCGGGCUCGGUCGCCUCCGGCCGCCUCCUGGUCGCGCUGCCCCGGUCCGGGCGGGCGCCGAGACUGGAGACGGAGACCGCUCGGCUGGUCGGCCGGGCGCUCCCCGCUGGGAUAGGCUGUAAAGAUGUUUAGCUUUGAAGGGGAUUUCAAGACGCGGCCCAAGGUGUCCCUCGGCGGCGCGAGUCGGAAGAAGAAAAGCCUUCUCUUUUACAUCGUACUCAGGAAGAAAGAAGAGAGAGAGAGGAAGAAAGGCAAAGACUGAAAAAUGCAGUAAUUAUCCAGUCAUUUAUUCGAGGCUAUAGAGAUAGAAAAGAGCAAAAGUGCAUUUGAUCGCUGUGCCGGCCUGUCCCAGUCUGGUGGCACUUUUCCCCUUGCUAAUGGUUCCAACCUCACCCUUUUGGUAAGGCAGCUUCUGUUUUUUUACAGACAGAAUGAAGACUCAAAACGUUUGAUAUGGCUGUAUCAAAACUUAAUUAAACACAGUGCACUGUUUGUCAAGCAGUUGGAUGGAUCAGAGAGACUUACAUGCCUAUUUCAAAUCAAGAGGUUGAUGAGCCUGUGUUGCAGGUUGCUGCAAAACUGUAAUGAUGACAGUUUGAAUGUUGCACUUCCGAUGAGAAUGCUUGAGGUAUUUUCAUCUGAGAAUACUUACAUGCCUGUUUUACAAGAUGCCAAUUAUGUGGUGUCAGUAAUUGCACAAACUUUGCACUACGUGAUUCAAAAUGGUAAGUAGUAGGUGGGAUAAGAACUGUGGCGUAGCCUUAUUACCUGAAGUACGUACAAGCCAGCACGCUUUUUAGAGCUUACCCCAGCAUCACAAUAUGUAACAGAAGCAUCGUGCACAGGUGCGGGGCGCCCACGAGAGUCACAGACUCCAACAUCUGUCCUUGGCCCUGCCGACUUCGAAAAUUUGGAAACGUAUUAUUUUCUUUUGCUUGGAAAUGAAGAAAAUCAAUGUAUGCUUUUAGAAAUUGUCUCGAGUACAAUACUUUAAUCCAAGAUUUGCAUCUGCAGUGAAGCCAUCCAUAACUGAGUAGGAAGGGGUCUUAUAACCUCGCGAUCACUCUGAGUGGAUAGGAAAGAUAAUACCGCAAAUGCCUGUCUUAUUAAAGAGCAAAUCUUACUAUUCUCCGGGUGUGGUGGCUCAUGCCUGUUAAUCCCAGCACUUUGGGAGGCUGAGGCAGGAGGGAGGAUCACCUGAGCCCAGGAGUUCGAGGCUGCGGUGAGUUAUGAUUGGGCAACUGCACUCCAGCCUGGUCAGCAGAGUGAGGACCUGCCUCGAAAAAACAAAAAACAAAAAGUAAAUCUUACUAAAUUAUUCCUAUUAAAAGAAUGAUAAAUUCUCACAUUAGGUCAGUAGAAUGGGAUACUUGGCUUAUUUGAAUUUUCUUUUUAUAACUCAGUGUUAAAGCUUUUAUGCAUUGAUACUAUCCUUAAAAUGUCUGCAUUACAUAAGGCAGUGGUGCCCAGCACCAGGGACCGGGUUUCACGGAAGACAAUUUUGGUGGGAGGGCGGGGGUCAGAGCUCCGCAGCCCAGUCCCUGACAGGUUACAGACAUAGUAAAUUUGAAGUUCCACUGAGGACAUUAGUGACACUAUUUGGAGAAAAACCGUGAAAUAAAUUUUUAAAAAUCUUUUAUGAUGAAGUGUGAGUAGUAUAAAAUCUAAAAUAACUCUCAAUCCCAGUAUCCUCUCGCAAGUGAAAAGGCAAAUACCUCAGGGCUCUGAGGCUUCAGAAAUAUUAGUUAGCAUUAAAAUAUAUAUAUGUGAUCAGUCAUAAAGGAUCUAAGAUGGUUUUAGAAAGGCAUGCUAACUGAUGAGAGUAUAAAUGUGCUUUUGUUUUCUUAAAAUGAUGGACUAAUAAUAUAGGUUAAAUCUAACUGAUUCAGUCCUGUGAAUUAAAACUGUAAAAAUUACAUUUUUAUCCAUUCCAACCUACUAUUCAUUUUUUUUUUAAACUCCUUUGUUGAAAACUUAGGAAAACUGCUGCAUGAAUUAAAAGUCAAUUGAAAUUCGUGGGAUUUAAUUUUUUAAAAAACAAACUAAUGAUAAUUAGAAGUAAUCCGGUCAGG